rnacentral:misc_RNA from 1 species
GAUGAAGAACGCAGCGAAUUGCGAUAAGUAAUGUGAAUUGCAGAAUUCAGUGAAUCAUCGAAUCUUUGAACGCACCUUGCGCCUUUUGGUAUUCCGAAAGGCACACCUGUUUGAGCGUCAUGAAUACCUCAAUCUCCAUCUUUUCUUCGGAUUGAUGGGUGACUUGGAUGUUGAGCCCUGCUGGUAUGCUAUAUCAGCUGGCUUUAAACUUAUUAGCCGGCUCUGUACUGGAUCGGUUUGACUCGACGUGAUAAUAUUAUCGUUGAGGAUGCAUGUCUCAUGCAGCCGGAAAGUAUCAAAGCAGCUUCUAGCUUGCCUUUAGUGCACUUUUACAUUUUAGACCUCAGAUCAGGUGGGACUACCCGCUGAACUUAAGCAUAUCAAUAAGCGGAGGA